rnacentral:rRNA from 1 species
AUUGAACGCUGGCGGCAGGCCUAACACAUGCAAGUCGAAUGGUAACAGGAAACAGCUUGCUGUUUCGCUGACGAGUGGCGGACGGGUGAGUAAUGUCUGGGAAACUGCCUGAUGGAGGGGGAUAACUACUGGAAACGGUAGCUAAUACCGCAUAACGUCGCAAGACCAAAGAGGGGGACCUUCGGGCCUCUUGCCAUCAGAUGUGCCCAGAUGGAAUUAGCUAGUAGGUGGGGUAACGGCUCACCUAGGCGACGAUCCCUAGCUGGUCUGAGAGGAUGACCAGCCACACUGGAACUGAGACACGGUCCAGACUCCUACGGGAGGCAGCAGUGGGGAAUAUUGCACAAUGGGCGCAAGCCUGAUGCAGCCAUGCCGCGUGUAUGAAGAAGGCCUUCGGGUUGUAAAGUACUUUCAGCGGGGAGGAAGGGAGUAAAGUUAAUACCUUUGCUCAUUGACGUUACCCGCAGAAGAAGCACCGGCUAACUCCGUG